rnacentral:rRNA from 1 species
GAUGAACGCUGGCGGCGUGCCUAAUACAUGCAAGUCGAGCGAACGGACGAGAAGCUUGCUUCUCUGAUGUUAGCGGCGGACGGGUGAGUAACACGUGGAUAACCUACCUAUAAGACUGGGAUAACUUCGGGAAACCGUAGCUAAUACCGGAUAAUAUUUUGAACCGCAUGGUUCAAAAGUGAAAGACGGUCUUGCUGUCACUUAUAGAUGGAUCCGCGCUGCAUUAGCUAGUUGGUAAGGUAACGGCUUACCAAGGCAACGAUGCAUAGCCGACCUGAUAGGGGGAUCGGCCACACUGGAACGGGGCCACGGUCCAGACUCCUACGGGAGGCAGCAGUAGGGAAUCUUCCGCAAUGGGCGAAAGCCUGACGGAGCAGCGCCGCGUGAGUGGUGAAGGUCUUCGGAUCGUAAAACUGUGUUAUUAGGGAAGAACAUAUGUGGAAGUAUCUGUGCACAGCUUGACGGUACCUAAUCAGAAAGCCACGGCUAACUACGUG